GGCUGAAGAAGCUCUGGAUGGCAGAAUUCCACUCAGCGUCAUUUAGGCCCCUCCUCCUCCCAGAAGCCAGCUAGGAAUGAUCCUCCUCGCCUGAAACUCCCACUCCUUUUUCUGAACUCAUUGUGAAGUUGGUGGGUGACGUAUUGGGAGAGCAGAGCAGUGAGAGGAAGUGGGGCAUUGCCUGGAUUUCACGGAUUUACCUCCAUUUGUACCCCCAUCUCCACCUCCUUAACGUACUUUAUACGGGCCUCUAUCAUAGGUCUUAUCAAUCCAGCCCAGUCUAAAUUAUAUAAACUCUUCUCUGGCAUAUUUGACAAAGAAUGAAGGAUUUCUGCAGUUUCUCAGUAAUUACUCUUUAAAUAUUAAUAAUUGAGAUAAAGACAAAAGAAGAGAACACUAAAUAAUUUCUACUCACUGGUCCUGUUUCCCCUCUGAAGUCACCCCAAUGCAUAAGGAUUCCAAGACAAAGAAUAUUUGUAGCCACCUAGAAGACUCCUAUGUGCCUCCAUUCAGUGAACACUCACCCAUCAAUGGCAGCCACUAUUCUAGUGAGUUUGCCUGUUUUUGAACUUCAGAGACACUCAGAGUGCAAGUCGGGAGGGACAGAGAAGGAGAGGAAG